rnacentral:misc_RNA from 1 species
UACUUUUUCGGUGCAGCAUUCUCAUUUUGUUUUCGUUGAUCUCGAUCGCGUCUGGCCUCUUGUGGGGCGUUGUUCUCGACGUGCUGUUCUUCCGGCCGGACCCCAAGUACUCGGGUAUUCCCGAGGAGCUGCGCAAGGACGUGAGGCUCGACCUCCUCUACGAUCAUGUGACGGACGAAGGCGCCGAAGCCCACUGCUCGCCGUCGUCAUCGCCCACUACUAAGGAGCCUGGUACCAAGAAGAAAAAGAAAAAGAAGAGCGUCCCGUACGUCGUCGUGGUGCUGAGCGAACACUUUCGGGAGGUCGGCGUCACUGGGAGCGAGAUUGUAAAUGCGUUGGAGGCGCCGGACGAGCGGCAGGAGGACUGUGCCGGGUACAGGUACGCCGCGUGGGUCGGCUGCUCUACGCAGAACGGUGUCACGCUGCCUCUGUCGCUCAUGUCGAAUGUCGCGAGCUCCAUCUCGUUCAUCGACAUGGCGCACAGCGCUGCCUAUAUUUUUGUGUUCAGCAUCAGCUACAUGCUUUACCUCUGGUCUGCGUGCCCGGCCUUUGUCGAGGCGGGGCAGAAGGCGGUCAAGAAGCAGCGGCUGAUUCGCGAAAUUAUGCUCAAGCACAAGCGGAUGAUGGCUCGAUGCGAUGCCACGACGCAGACUCUCUCUCUGCCCGUCAACCAAGUGCUGGAGAGCCAUGAGGACCUCGUGGAGGACGUCGAGGUCGAUGGCUGUGACAGCGAGGCGGGGCAGGCCAGCCGUCUGGAGUGUCAGGUGAACCGCUUCACCCAGCUCUACCUCGCCGCCUCGGAUCCAUCGUCUAGCAGCACUAGCUGCAGCGACAGCACAAGUCCGCUGGAGGCUGGCUGCGUCGCCAACACGGAUGCUUUCAGUAGCCGCGCAGACCGCCACGCGCACUCCGCAACGUACUCCUUUGACCUGAUCACGUCACUCCAGAACUCCUUCACGCAGACGACGAGAAGCUUCGCCCGCACCAGUGGCAAGCGUGGUGCCGCUGAGGUGACGUUCAAGAUACUUGGCACACCCGCUACCAGGAGCCCCACCGCGGCUGGCGAGCGCGCAUUCGCGAUGGCGACAGCGGUGCAGUUGCCGUACGACUGGGCCGCCACCGGCUUCGUCCGCUUCAAGUACGAGAGCGAGGUGAAGGCCAUCAGGAAGAAGUCCGCGUCAGAGAAGGUGCAGCAGCUCGGGCGCGCCUCCUGGGUGCUCGUUAAGAAGCUCAUGACAAGCCCGCCCUUUCUCUCCGUAGUGCUGGGCAUCUUCAUCGGCAUCGUUCCGCCCGUGCGCAGGCUGUUUGAGCAUUGGCCGCUGUCGAUGGUGAUGGACGCCAUCAGGCUGAUCGGCGAGGGCUCAAUCCCGUCGUCGCUGCUGCUGCUCGGCGCAAACCUUGCCGGCUCUUCCUCGGCCAACGCGGCUGGGCCGGCGGAGGUGCGCCUCCGAAACGCUGAGCAAAACACGGAAUACCCACUGCUCCCCGAGGAGUGGCAGCUGCUUGGCGAGGAUUUGGCGUACGCCAGGUGGUAUGAUGCACAGCACACCGACAUGGUGUUCGACUCGCACGAGUCCUUCUCGCUUCAAACGUUGAUGCAGCGUGGGCGUCUGCCUGCGUCGAUGAUGCCCGGCGGCGCCAAUGCUGCCUCCGCGGCGCCGAUGAACGAGGGCACCGACGAGGAGGGCGACGGCGCCAAGAAGGGCACUUUCAUUGACGGCGUGCAGCGCACCCUGUCUCUCAAAGGCAUCCGGCCUACAUUUGUGUGGGGCAUCAUCAUCUUCCGCAUGCUCAUCUCCCCGACGCUCAGCUUCUUCCUCCUCAUCUUUCUCAUCGACAAAAUGCCGUUUCUCUUCGGUGGUCGGGGCUCGCUGGACAAGACGCUCAUCAUGGUGCUCAUGGUGGAGCUGGCGGCGCCGACCGCGAUCAACAGCACGCUGCUGUUCAACGCAUACAAGUUUAUGACGUACCAGUGGGCAAAGAUGCUCUUCUUCCAGUACAUCCUCUGCAUCUUGUCCAUGGUGAUGUGGGCCUCCAUCGGGUUGAGCUACGUGAUGUCGUUGUAGCGCAAAUGUGCGAGGACUCUGCGAGGGGGACGGGACAGAGGACGAUUCUCGGCAGCGACCCAGGAAUGCAUUCUCCUCGCUUCGAGAAGUGGUGGGAAGCCGAGGCGCAAGACAGGAGGGAUGCGGAGAAAGAGGGGGAUGCUGCUCAAGAAGUGAACAACCUUCUAGUGAAGAGGCAUACGCCACUCUCAGCUCAUGGAUGUGGCUCUUUGCCGCUCUUCAGUUUUUUAUCGUUUCUGAAAGUGCCGAGUGAUGCUGCCGGCUCUGCAGGAGGGGUGGCACACAGAGACUUGGUACGCACAUGGGCAGUUGCUCUUGGGCCUUGCUUCCUCUCCAUGCGUGCCUGCGGGGCGAUGGGUUGGGGGUGGUGGUGCCGGUGGUUUGGGGGGUCUUGUCGCUUACACUCUUGUUGCGGUGGCACCGACGUUGCUGAUGGUGGUGGAGAUUAUUGUUGCGGCGCCGACGGCUGCCGGACGCGGUGAAGUUAAGGGUCAGUCUCUUCUUCGCGCGCUCUCUCUCUCGCUCACCCUUUGGGCUGUGCGAGACGUAUUGCUGAUCACGACUCACUCACAGCCGUUGCUAGCAGCCACUGCAGUUGCGCAUGCUGGAGCGCUAGCAAUGAUUACGUAAUCAUCGACGCGUCGUGCACCACACGAG